GCCUUCAUGGUGUAAAGGUUAGCACACUCGGCGCGUAUUCGAGAGGUCCAGGUUUGAGUCCCGGCGAAGGCA
rfam:Stegodyphus mimosarum contig94531, whole genome shotgun sequence.